rnacentral:rRNA from 1 species
AUUGAACGCUGGCGGCAUGCCUUACACAUGCAAGUCGAACGGCAGCAUGAUCUAGCUUGCUCGAUUGAUGGCGAGUGGCGAACGGGUGAGUAAUACAUCGGAACGUUCCCUGUAGUGGGGGAUAACUAGUCGAGAGAUUAGCUAAUACCGCAUACGACCUGAGGGUGAAAGUGGGGGACCGCAAGGCCUCAUGCUAUAGGAGCGGCCGAUGUCUGAUUAGCUAGUUGGUGAGGUAAAGGCUCACCAAGGCGACGAUCAGUAGCUGGUCUGAGAGGACGAUCAGCCACACUGGGACUGAGACACGGCCCAGACUCCUACGGGAGGCAGCAGUGGGGAAUUUUGGACAAUGGGCGAAAGCCUGAUCCAGCAAUGCCGCGUGUGUGAAGAAGGCCUUCGGGUUGUAAAGCACUUUUGUCCGGAAAGAAAUGGCUCUGGUUAAUACCUGGGGUAGAUGACGGUACCGGAAGAAUAAGGACCGGCUAACUACGUG